GCGGGGAUAGCCAAGCGGUAAGGCAACCGCCUGCAGAGCGGUCAUGCGGGGGUUCAAAUCCCUCUCCCCGCU
rnacentral:tRNA from 1 species